UCUGAUAAGCAAGGGCUCACCAAUUUUUUGUGGUCCGUAGUGUACACGAUAUCUACUACUUGAGGCAGCCACCAAAACUCUGACAUGGACUACUUUUACGACAAUCAUUGGAUCACACAAAUUAUUUUACUCUCUCUUUUGUCCAUAUACUUAGUAAAAAUGUCAGUAAAAAUCUUAAUUUAACUUCUAUUUAUUUUUUUAAAUCGCCGUAAUCUCUCCCUCUCUCUGUAUAUAUAGGUCAUGGGGGGUGUAAAAGAAAAUCAAUGAGAUGAACAACUCAAUUUGCUCUCUCUACUAAGGUCGUGUUUGGUUGAAACACUGAAGUUCAGGUAAUCAUUUGUAGGAGCCAAUCAAGGCUCUGAAAUGCAUAUGAUAUUCAAGCGAUUAAUCAUCGGUGGAGAGAUUGUUGAACAAGAAGGCGAGUGGGAGAAAGAAAGAUAAAGAAUCCAAAUAGCAUACGUUUCUAGCUUUACAUUCGGAGGAUUAUUAAUCUAAGAAGAUUUUAAGAGUAUCUAAAAGAUUCAUAUAAAUCAGCGAGAUUCCAGCAUACGUUCCGAAACGGUUAUGUUCUGUAUGUGUAUAUAUUUGUUGAAGGGGAAUCUCAAUUCCCAGUAGCUCUGAGCUUUCACCUUGUUGAUGAGUAUUCAAUUCCCCACCCUGAAGUAAAGCGUAUUGUUUCAAGUGAGAGAUUUGAGGCAACGGCAGCAACAAUGAUGAGGAAAGAGUCGGCGAAUGUGACCAGUACCGAACCUCAGAUGAAAAAUGAAGUGCAAUUUGCAAAGUGCGAGUGCUGUGGAUUGACGGAGGAGUGUACAGAGGCGUACAUAGCGAGAGUUCGGGAACGGAACCAAGGGAGGUGGAUAUGUGGACUAUGCGCAGAGGCGGUGAAGGACGAGAUGAUGAGAUCGAAGACAUCGGAGACAAGGAUCGGAAGAGAUGAAGCUUUGAAUCGACACAUGACAUUUUGCAAGAAAUUCAGAGCAAAAAGUCUGCCACCCAAUCCGACAGACGAGUUGAUAUCAGCGGUGAAGCAGUUGUUGCUGAGGAGCUUGGAUUCGCCGAGGUCAAGCAGAGGAGGUCUUGCUCGAUCACAGAGUUGUUUUUCAGCUAUUGAUAGUUGAAUUUGAAUAGUUUUGGGACGAGUUUGGUAGCCUUGGAGGAAGUAAAUAGCAUUGGACUAGAAUAAUAAGUUUUGGUGUUUAAUUAUGCAUUGGUUGAAUUAGUUGUUCUUGUUGUUUAGACAAUUAUUUAGUGAAAUAUAUAUCUAUAUGGAUUGUUUGUUGUUGAAUCAA